UAACUACUCCCUCUCUUCGUCCGGAAAUACUUGUCGGAAAACGGAUGCAUCUAGACGUAUUUUAAUUUUAAAUACAUCAAUUUUUAUCCAUUUCUUCAAUAAGAAUUUCUGGACGGAGGAAGUAGAAA
rnacentral:pre_miRNA from 1 species